AACGAACGCUGGCGGCGUGGAUAAGACAUGCAAGUCGAGCGAGACAUUUCGGGUAGCAAUAUUCGGAAUGUUUAGCGGCGCAAGGGUGCGUAACACGUGGGUAAUCUACCUUGAAGCCCGGAAUAACUCCGAGAAAUCGGAGCUAAUACCGGAUGUGAUAUUGGGAUGGCAUCAUCCGAAUCUCAAAGUUGGGGACCGCAAGGCCUGACACUUCUAGAUGAGCCCGCGGCCUAUCAGCUAGUUGGUGAGGUAAAGGCUCACCAAGGCUAAGACGGGUAGCUGGUCUGAGAGGACGACCAGCCACACUGGAACUGAGACACGGUCCAGACACCUACGGGUGGCAGCAGUCGAGAAUUUUUCACAAUGGGCGCAAGCCUGAUGGAGCGACGCCGCGUGGGGAUGAUGGCUUCGGCCCCGUAAACCCCUGUCAUUUGCGAACAAACCUUUCGACCUAACACGUCGAGAGCUGAUUGUAGCGGAA
rnacentral:rRNA from 1 species